rnacentral:rRNA from 1 species
UACGUAGGGCGCAAGCGUUGUCCGGAAUUAUUGGGCGUAAAGAGCUCGUAGGCGGUCUGUCGCGUCGGCUGUGAAAUCCCGGGGCUUAACCCCGGGCGUGCAGUGGAUACGGGCAGGCUGGAGGCAGGCAGGGGAGAACGGAAUUCCCGGUGUAGCGGUGAAAUGCGCAGAUAUCGGGAGGAACACCGGUGGCGAAGGCGGUUCUCUGGGCCGAUACUGACGCUGAGGAGCGAAAGCGUGGGGAGCGAACAGG